UCGGUGUAAUUUUAAAUUGUAUUGAUUAUAAUUUGGCUGUGUUAGGGAUAGUUGUUGAGUUAUCCGCGUGGUGUACAGUAGGCUUGGGCGUUCGGAUCUUCGGGUCGGAUCGGACCAGUUCCUUUUAGAUCCGGAUCUUUCGGAUUCUAAACAUUUAGAUCCAAUAGGUAUUUGAAAAUUAUCGGUUCGGUUUCAGAUCAGUUCUUCUCGGAUCAAGUUCGGUUCGGGUCUAUAAUUAAAAUACUUAUAAAAUACCCGUAAUUUUCGGAUCCAUAUCGAAUCCGGAUCGGGUUCGGGUAUUUAGAAUCUGAGAAGGACAUGACAUACUCAAACUCCAUCAAAUUUAGUCAAUAUUUUUCAUAUAUCUAAAAUUU
rnacentral:lncRNA from 1 species